UAGGUAUUAGUUAAACAUAUAACCUUUAAAUUGCAAUUAAAUAUUACAUAUAAAUCUGUAUGCCU
rnacentral:tRNA from 1 species